rnacentral:rRNA from 1 species
UAGGGAAUCUUCCGCAAUGGACGAAAGUCUGACGGAGCAACGCCGCGUGAGUGAAGAAGGAUUUCGGUUCGUAAAACUCUGUUGUUAGGGAAGAAAAAAUGUAUAGUAACUAUAUACAAAAGAGACGGUACCUAACCAGAAAGCCACGGCUAACUACGUGCCAGCAGCCGCGGUAAUACGUAGGUGGCAAGCGUUGUCCGGAAUUAUUGGGCGUAAAGCGCGCGCAGGUGGUUUAGAAAGUCUGAUGUGAAAGCCCACGGCUCAACCGUGGAGGGUCAUUGGAAACUAAUAAACUUGAGUGCAGGAGAGAAAAGUGGAAUUCCUAGUGUAGCGGGGAAAUGCGUAGAGAUUAGGAGGAACACCGGUGGCGAAAGCGGCUUUUUGGCCUGCAACUGACACUGAGGCGCGAAAGCGUGGGGAGCAAACAGG